rnacentral:tRNA from 1 species
UGAUAAGAAAAGGAGUUAAACCUCUCUUCAUAGGACUACAGCCUACCGCUAUGGACGCUCAGCCAUCUUACC